CUACGUGCCAGCAGCCGCGGUAAUACGGAGGGUGCGAGCGUUAAUCGGAAUAACUGGGCGUAAAGGGCACGCAGGCGGUGACUUAAGUGAGGUGUGAAAGCCCCGGGCUUAACCUGGGAAUUGCAUUUCAUACUGGGUCGCUAGAGUACUUUAGGGAGGGGUAGAAUUCCACGUGUAGCGGUGAAAUGCGUAGAGAUGUGGAGGAAUACCGAAGGCGAAGGCAGCCCCUUGGGAAUGUACUGACGCUCAUGUGCGAAAGCGUGGGGAGCGAACAGGAUUAGAUACCCUGGUAGUCCACGCUGUAAACGUUGGGCACUAGGUGUGGGGGCCACCCGUGGUUUCUGCGCCGUAGCUAACGCUUUAAGUGCCCCGCCUGGGGAGUACGGCCGCAAGGCUAAAACUCAAAGGAAUUGACGGGGGCCCGCACAAGCGGCGGAGCAUGCGGAUUAAUUCGAUGCAACGCGAAGAACCUUACCAAGGCUUGACAUGC
rnacentral:rRNA from 1 species